AUUGAACGCUGGCGGCAUGCCUUACACAUGCAAGUCGAACGGCAGCGCGGGAGCAAUCCUGGCGGCGAGUGGCGAACGGGUGAGUAAUACAUCGGAACGUGCCCAAUCGUGGGGGAUAACGCAGCGAAAGCUGUGCUAAUACCGCAUACGAGCUACGGAUGAACGCAGGGGAUCGCAAGACCUUGCGAGAAUGGAGCGGCCGAUGGCAGAUUAGUGAGUUGGUGAGGUAAAGGCUCACCAAGCCUUCGAUCUGUAGCUGGUCUGAGAGGACGACCAGCCACACUGGGACUGAGACACGGCCCAGACUCCUACGGGAGGCAGCAGUGGGGAAUUUUGGACAAUGGGCGAAAGCCUGAUCCAGCCAUGCCGCGUGCAGGAUGAAGGCCUUCGGGUUGUAAACUGCUUUUGUACGGAACGAAACGGUCUUUUCUAAUAAAGAAGGCUAAUGACGGUACCGUAAGAAUAAGCACCGGCUAACUACGUG
rnacentral:rRNA from 1 species